CGCGCUGGGGAGCAGCAGCCCUGCGGGGAUUGUCCCUCGCGGCGCUUUCUCGGACUUUACAAUAAAAGGAAGGAGCAAGGCAGCAGCCUCACAAGGUCCCGGCUGGUUGGCGAUGUCGUGCACAGGAACCUGUGAGUGGGAGUGUCCGGCAAAGCGGCCCCUUACCAGGCCUUGAAACAAGCUGUCCUGGAGCUUUACUGUUAACUAGGAGAUUAAAAAAAAACAACACACACUAACUAAAAAACACCACCAAUAAAGGCACUUGAUUCUG